GUGCUUACACAUGCAAGUCGACGGGAUCCCUGGCAGCUUGCUGCCGGGGUGAGAGUGGCGAACGGGUGAGUAAUGCGUGACCGACCUGCCCCAUGCACCGGAAUAGCUCCUGGAAACGGGUGGUAAUGCCGGAUGUUCCACAUGAGCGCAUGCGAGUGUGGGAAAGGCUUUUUGCGGCAUGGGAUGGGGUCGCGUCCUAUCAGCUUGUUGGUGGGGUAACGGCCUACCAAGGCGUUGACGGGUAGCCGGCCUGAGAGGGCGACCGGCCACAUUGGGACUGAGAUACGGCCCAGACUCCUACGGGAGGCAGCAGUGGGGAAUAUUGCACAAUGGGCGCAAGCCUGAUGCAGCGACGCCGCGUGCGGGAUGGAGGCCUUCGGGUUGUAAACCGCUUUUGUUCAAGGGCAAGGCACGGUCUUUGGCCGUGUUGAGUGGAUUGUUCGAAUAAGCACCGGCUAACUACGUGCCAGCAGCCGCGG
rnacentral:rRNA from 1 species